AAGGGCUUAGCUUAAUUAAAGUGUCUGUUUUGCAUGCAGGAGAUGUUAGAUAUAGUCUUGCAGUCCUUA
rnacentral:tRNA from 1 species